UGGGGAAUAUUGCACAAUGGGGGAAACCCUGAUGCAGCCAUGCCGCGUGUGUGAAGAAGGCCUUCGGGUUGUAAAGCACUUUCAGUGGUGAGGAAGGCCAUACACCUAAUACGUGUGUGGAUUGACGUUAGCCACAGAAGAAGCACCGGCUAACUCCGUGCCAGCAGCCGCGGUAAUACGGAGGGUGCAAGCGUUAAUCGGAAUUACUGGGCGUAAAGCGUACGUAGGCGGCUUGUUAAGCAAGAUGUGAAAGCCCCGGGCUCAACCUGGGAAUGGCAUUUUGAACUGGCAAGCUCGAGUUUUGAAGAGGGUGGUAGAAUUUCCUGUGUAGCGGUGAAAUGCGUAGAUAUAGGAAGGAAUACCAGUGGCGAAGGCGGCCACCUGGUCAAAAACUGACGCUGAGGUACGAAAGCGUGGGGAGCAAACAGG
rnacentral:rRNA from 1 species